UGUGUGUGUGUAAUUGUCAACUAAGGCUCUGUUUAGACGGAAACGAUCUGAAGAGAAAACGCAAAAGUGCGUGCAUAUAGUGACGCUAACGUGUGUGAAUUCAAUGUAGUAUGCACG